rnacentral:rRNA from 1 species
GAUGAACGCUGGCGGCGUGCCUAAUACAUGCAAGUCGAGCGAAUGGAUUAAGAGCUUGCUCUUAUGAAGUUAGCGGCGGACGGGUGAGUAACACGUGGGUAACCUGCCCAUAAGACUGGGAUAACUCCGGGAAACCGGGGCUAAUACCGGAUAACAUUUUGAACCGCAUGGUUCGAAAUUGAAAGGCGGCUUCGGCUGUCACUUAUGGAUGGACCCGCGUCGCAUAGCUAGUUGGUGAGGUAACGGCUCACCAAGGCAACGAUGCGUAGCCGACCGGCGAGGGUGAUCGGCCACACUGGGACUGAGACACGGCCCAGACUCAUACGGGAGGCAGCAGUAGGGAAUCUUCCGCAAUGGACGAAAGUCUGACGGAGCAACGCCGCGUGAGUGAUGAAGGCUUUCGGGUCGUAAAACUCUGUUGUUAGGGAAGAACAAGUGCUAGUUGAAUAAGCUGGCACCUUGACGGUACCUAACCAGAAAGCCACGGCUAACUACGUGCCAGCCGCCGCAGUAA